GAGUUUGAUCAUGGCUCAGGAUGAACGCUAGCGGCAGGCUUAAUACAUGCAAGUCGAGGGGCAGCAGGGUGUAGCAAUACAUCGCUGGCGACCGGCAAACGGGUGCGGAACACGUACGCAACCUUCCUUCAAGUGGGGAAUAGCCCGGGGAAACCCGGAUUAAUACCCCGUAACAUUAUGAGGUGGCAUUACCUUAUAAUUAAAGUUCCGACGCUUGAAGAUGGGCGUGCGCCUGAUUAGGUAGUUGGCGGGGUAACGGCCCACCAAGCCUACGAUCAGUAACUGGUGUGAGAGCACGACCAGUCACACGGGCACUGAGACACGGGCCCGACUCCUACGGGAGGCAGCAGUAAGGAAUAUUGGUCAAUGGACGCAAGUCUGAACCAGCCAUGCCGCGUGGAGGAUGAAGGUCCUCUGGAUUGUAAACUUCUUUUAUUUGGGAAGAAGCCCAUAUUUUCUAAUGUGGUUGACGGUACCAAGUGAAUAAGCACCGGCUAACUCCGUGCCAGCAGCCGCCGUAAC
rnacentral:rRNA from 1 species